UUCAUUUACGGCCAUGACUGUAUUCCAAUCAUAUUUCAUCCUAGACGACAUUAAAGUAAGCACUUUGUACCUGAAAAAAUUCUAUGUUAACAUAUUUUAUGUUGUAUUUAAAUCACUAGAACUAGGACCCUGAUGUGGUGAGACCCUUCUUAGAUCUUGCCAGCAGGGUAUGCAUGGUGGAGGCCAUUAAUAUAAGAAAGUGGAUGAUGCUUAUCAUACAAUGUGUGCCGUUAUGGAUAAAGCCGAAGCGACCUAGCGACAGCAUAAUAGAAACAAUAGCAUCGAGGAGCUGAGUUAGCAUAUAGCGUAGAGCAGUAAAGCCUAAAGCAAGACUGUACUAAGAAGUUGCUGUGCCACAAUUACAGCGCAAAAUAUUCCGAAUGAGUUUGAUUAGAAAAUAUUGGGAAGGAGCUCGGCUAAUACAAUUACAGGCAAUGGAGACCAUUCAUCCAGAUCAGGAAAAUGAAGUUAUAAGGAAGCUGGGACCAGACGGCACUUGUAAACUAUGCAAUACAGUUGGUCAUUCUAAAAAUAACAGAGGCCGGAGCGGGUAAUGACUGCACAUGGAGAAAAACGUCGCGAGUGACGAGAAUGGAAAGAUGUGUUUUAUAUCUCAGACUGGCUUUGCUUCUCCUUCCUUCUAUAAAUAAUGAAAUCCUUCAAUAAAACCCUAAGAUGUUUAUAC